UACGUAGGGCGCAAGCGUUGUCCGGAAUUAUUGGGCGUAAAGAGCUCGUAGGCGGUUUGUUGCGUCUGCCGUGAAAACCCGAGGCUUAACCUCGGGCUGGCGGUGGAUACGGGCAGACUAGAGGUAGGUAGGGGAGAAUGGAAUUCCUGGUGUAGCAGUGAAAUGCGUAGAUAUCAGGAGGAAUACCGAUGGCGAAGGCAGGUCUCUGGGCUGACACUGACGCUCAUGCACGAAAGCGUGGGGAGCAAACAGG
rnacentral:rRNA from 1 species